rnacentral:rRNA from 1 species
UACGGAGGAUGCAAGCGUUAUCCGGAAUGAUUGGGCGUAAAGCGUCCGCAGGUGGCUGUUCAAGUCUGCUGUCAAAGACCGGGGCUUAACUUCGGAAAGGCAGUGGAAACUGAACAGCUAGAGUAUGGUAGGGGCAGAGGGAAUUCCUGGUGUAGCGGUGAAAUGCGUAGAGAUCAGGAAGAACAUCGGUGGCGAAGGCGCUCUGCUGGACCAUAACUGACACUCAGGGACGAAAGCUAGGGGAGCGAACGGG